UAGUUUCUAACAUCUGCUGAGUCCAACAAAAUUCUUGGUUAAGAAAUAACAUUCCAGAAUGGACCCAGCCUGCGUUCUCACUUGUGGAUACCCAGCAGACACAUGCAGACAGCUUGGUGAGUGACAAGCACUGAGUGGAGCACCUUCUUCUACACAAGUGGGACUAUACCAAGGAAUUCCAAUGGCAAGGAGUGGCAGGAACAAGUCACAUAACUGUCAGCAUGCCUGGGCAACACACAGCUACGCAGUCUCAUUUGAGGACCCAUCAAUGUGGCUAUGAGCCUGCCGGGUGCCAGGUUACCCUAUGGAUGCUGAGGUUGUGGCAGUCACAACUCUAUAAGGUUGUUGUCUACCAUGGUGGAGAAGCCAAGGAAGCAGAAGCUUGAAGCAGCUCAUCACAUGACAUCCACAGUCAGGAAUACAGAAGUGAUGAACAUAUGAUGCUGCUCAGCUCCCUUAUCUCCACUUUAUACAGUCCAGGAUCCCAGCCAGAGAAUGACACUACCCACAGUGGAGAACUCUGUCUUCUCCAAUGCAAUCAAGCAAAUGUAGAGUUCCAUGGAAACCUCUUCAAUCAACCCUUGGAUGAUGGAGCAUCUAAGGACGUGUACCCAGAGUCCUCUCUUCUCCUGAGCACAGACAUGUAAUCCAGUACACAAAUGGGCUUUCAUAUUCCACAGGACUGAUUCCCUUUUACAUACUGAACAUAAUGAUUUGCUUUUUUAUUUUACAUAAUUUUUUAUGUUUUUUUGAAAAAGAACAUUAAAUUGCAAAAAAGAUUAUAAACUGCUUAUGUAAGGGGAAAAAAACCUUAAAAGCAAGCUGGAAUUUCAUCUGUAAGGCUUAAGUACCUCUCUCAGUUUAUGAUGCAAUGGCAGUCUUAAAAGUUUUAUGAAUAAGUAGCACACUGAAUCACAACAUGAACCUGACAUCCUGUCUGCAUAACAUCUUCUAGGUUAAGCCUUAGUAAUUACCAUUUUAUAUUCCAUGCUUAGGUGCCCAAGUAAAACAACCACACUGAAUGACAUAUACAAGUGCAGCAAAUCUUUGUAAAUUUGUAGUUUUGGGAACCAGAUAAAAAGAAAGAGUAAGCCAGAAUAAGGAAAAUUUUAAAUGCAGCCAGAGAUUGCCUGGAAUCUAAUUAGGGAUGCCUUCCAGCUGUUGUUACUACCUGGAACCUCUUCUUCUGGGUCCAUCCUCUAAAACAUACUGUGGGGAAAGAAGCAAAAAUAGAGAGGUGAGAGAGAGGGAGGAGGAGAAGUAGAGGGAGAGACAAGUUGAACAAGGUAGAAAAGGCUAAUUAUCAGAUAUUGAUUUAUGAUUUAUUUAGUGAUUUACUUAAAGCACUGCUUGUACUGCCUGUUUGCCAAGCAUGACUUCACUUUUUACUUCAAUCAGAAUGACCCAGGGAAAUAACUGAAAUGAUGGGUUAUUGUCCUUAACAAUCUGCUGACUGCCUGGUAGGCUUCUGUAAAACCUUUCCCAACCCACCUUGUGUUUUAGAGUAUGUAAGUAGAACAUAAACUGGACCCUGCAUUUAAGCCUUUCAGGAGCUGUCGUGGCUUUUUCUCUCCCAAUGACAUUUCCUCCCUUCCACUCUCAGUGGUGUGAGGGUGCUUGUGCAGAAAAAUGCUCAAGUAGGACCACCCACUGUACUGAGUGCUUCUGUGUUUAAAGCAUUACUUUAUAAAAAAAAUCUAGUCGAGUAGGCAAGAGAGAUAUAGAAACAAAUCUCAGUGUUCAAAAACUUAUGUGCAUUCUAGCAACACAAGGUGUCAUCAACAGUAUCUUCAAUAUACUAGUGACGGUAUAUGACUUCAUGUUUAUCUGUAUGUAGAAGAUUAAUAUAUUUAUUUGCAAUAUGUUCCCUUAAACAGACAAGAUGAUGAUUAAAAAACAAGUUCUCACAUUCCAUGCCUUGAUGCAGACUAGACCCUACGUCAUGGAUCUGUUGCUUUUCUCUGUGUCUAUGAACUUGCCUAUUUCAAUCUUAGGUGUCAUUUUUAUGUACAACUGUGCACAUAGCCAAGUUAAGGCACAGAGGAUGGGAAAGGAUGAUGACAGUGGCUUGCAUUUUCAAGGUUAAGUAAAAUUUCCAACAGUUUCAUUAUUGUGGUUCAGAUGAACUCCUCCUGUUCACUUAAUCAUUGGAUUUCCACUAGCUUGUCUUUCCAUCUUGAAAACAUCUUCCUUUUGAGCCUCUGACCUCUCUAAUUACCAUAGUAUUCUCUUUUUCCUUUGCUUUAGGCUAAAACCCUCACCUAACUUACAAUGCUCUCCUUUUCUACUCCAUCAGCAGUUUUAAACAACUUUCAAGAAUCAAAGUAUUUGUUUAAGGAGUGUGUGGUGGUGGUGGUGAUGGAGGGUGGUGGUACUGGGUGGUUAAAUGAUCUUUUGUUUUGCCAAUUUAAAACACAGUAAAAAUUUAAUUAUGAUUGGAGCUCUGAGGAGAACAUUUCUUUUUCAGGCAAACAUUGUGAAAUUAAGUGAUAUGUCACCAGUUGCUGUGGGGUUUGUGCUAGUUGGCUCACAUGGAACAUAACCACAUCAUCCAAUGGUAGACUGUGGGGAAAUAAUUUCUGUUCACACUCGGUUCAGUGUUCUCUCCCAUUAACAGCCCAGCCUCUAACUACGCAUGCCAUUUCCUUUCAAAAACCGUCUAUUGAAUGUUUCAAAUGUGCAGACUCUUAAGUUGGUGACUCAAAUCCCCAGUACUGAAUCAUCUAGCCAAAUAUGAGUCAGAGCAAUAGAUCCUUUGCAGACAUGUAGCUAACUGAACUUAAGGGAAAUAUGUAAACUUGUGAACAACUUCUUAGUUAUUAUGAGAUAUGGGAGUAAGAGAGAAAAAGCACAAGGCUGGUUUCCUGUCUUAUCUUUCCUGAACUUAAACAUCUAUUCGGAUGACCUCAGUCCUACCAUCAUUUUCCUUAAAAGGAUCACAGUGACCAUGUGUGGCAUUUAAACAAAGAUUUUACAGACAGCUGCUGUAUCUUACUUUAUGCUAAUUUGCUGUGGAUUUUUUUAAAGGCUAUUUGGCAAUGCCAGCCAACAUGAGAUUAACCAUCUCAUCAGAAUGUGUUUAUUUGGCAGUGUAUUAUCAAAGGAAUUCUUUUCCUGAAAUGAAAUGAACAUAUAAAGCCAAAGGGCAUAGUUUAAAGUUAUUCCCCUCCUCAUAUUAUGGUUCAUGUCUAUUUGGGUUAAUGUUAUUAUGAUCCACCAACCACCAAGCAGAACUUUUUCUCAAAGUUUUAGUUGCUUUUUUUUUUAUUGCAAAGUUCUGAUGACCACUCAUCCAGUAGCAUUCCUUCCAUCACUAAUUGUUUCUGAUUCCUUCCCAUUCUUAACUAUGUUGGUGGAUUUUUUUCAGUGUUUUAGUUUGCAUUCAGCAGCUCUCUUUUCGUUGCCAGCAGUGCAGUUUUACAGGACUGAUAAGGAGCUAGGAAACAGUGAUGAGGCAAGAGGGAGAUGUUAAAAAUGAAUGAGGUGCUGGUACAACAAGUCAUAAAUAGGCAUGUCACAGAACAGACAUCAAGGAGGUCACAUGUCACAUGGUCGUUCUCUGUAUCUGUUUCUCCCAUACUGAUCUAGAGUUUGUUACCUUGUGCUCUUCUCUAAGUGGCUAUUGAUAUGGUAUUGGAUAACAAUUUGAAGAACUGGGUAUUUUGACGUCUGAGAAACUAUACAUCCCAGAAGUAGCUGUCUUGUUAUUGUUUUUUACAUACUCCUUGUGUCUGAGACUGGAGGCUAAGUGGUUCGUGCCUACAUCCAUUGAAGCAUUACAAUCAUAAGAUUAUGUGGUGGUUUGAAAGAAAAUGGCCUCCAAAGGGAAUGGCACUAUUAGGAGGUGUGGCUUUGUUGGAGUGGGUGUGGCCUUCUUGAAGGAAGGGUAUCACUGUGGAGGUGGGCUUUGAGGUCUCACAUAUGCUCAAGCCACGCCCACUAUCUCAGUUUACUUCUUGUUGCCUGCAAGAUGUAGAACUCUCAGCUCCUUCUCCCGUGCUGCCAUGUCCUGCCGUGAUGAUGAAUGACUAAACCUCUAAACAGUAAGCCACUAAAUUAAAUGUUUUCCUUUAUGAGAGUUUCUGUGGCCAUGGUGUCUCAUCAUAGCAAUAGAAAUCCUAAGACAGAUUAUCACCUCCACCCAUUGCUUUUCUACUCUCUAACUACCUGGGGGUAUAAGCAGAUGGCAAGCUCUGAUUCUGCCACCCUCCUCCUCCCCCACUGCAGGAUUUUUCCUCCAAAUAAAAGCCUGUGCUGUCUUAAGAAAAAUAAAAAUAGAAAAGUUUGCCUUAUCAUAUGAAAAAUUUGGUGAGAAUUCCUGGAAUGCAAAUUAUACAUGGCUCUUAAAAGCUUAGGACUAGGAGCAGAGCAGAGUAUCAACAUUCAAAAAAACCAACAGACAAGGCUGUGUUCAUACAUGCAUUUAACAUCUAAUUUUUGCCAGAUAGGACUGAGGAGUGUGCAUGAGUGAUGGCUAGUCACAGAUAAUCAGCAGACUUCUUUCUUUGGAAGAGUUUGCUAUUUCUCACCAAAGAAACUUUUGCCGCCUAGCUACCUAGAAGGGAAAAUUGACCAUUUCCUCUUCUUCAGCUCCCUUCCCAGCAUGUGGAUCCAAGCUCCCCUCUAGGAGUUUGUGUAGAUUUUAGAUGAGGCUUUGUGUUGCUGUUACCGGAACAAACACUAAUGAUUCAUGUUUUUGUGCAUGUGAUAAUUUUGUACUUGUUCUUAAGUGUAUCUUCUCAUGAAUGAAACAAAUUGAAAAUGGUUUAACUAUAAAAUGCUAUACCUAACACAAAUAUGGAAAAAUAUUGUCAUUGAACUACCUCAUCUUUAAUAGUUAAUAGUUUAACAUGUAAUUCUGGCAUAUACAUUAAAAUGAAAGUCAUACUUUGUACAAAACAACAACAACAAUAACAUGUACCAAAAACAUUAAUAAAAUACAUGGUAUCUUU